GUAAAAAGCAGAGGUGAUCAACUCAUCCAUUCAGUCUAUGCCACCAGUCAACAUGAUUGUGUCAAAUAUACAGAACAGUGGCCAUUUUAUUAGAACCUAUACAACUCUGCCUCAAAAUUAUUCCAAAAUUCUGUUUCCAUGCUAUAUGAGAAAGUGACACUUCCAAAGAUUUACAACCCUCGUUGACAGGAUUUGUCAGUAUUUCCAGCUUGUUGAAUACCUGAAGACAAAAGAGGCUGUGGAAGCAAAUCCAACCAGGGCAAGUUGUGCAAUUCCAGCAUUCAUUUCAAGAGGACGAAAAUCUAAAAGCAAGGAUUUGAGCUCAGUAUGGCAUUUGUUCUGCCCAAGACUACAAGAUAUUGCAGAGAAUUGUGAACACAGCCCAGAACAUCACACAAACUGGCCACCACUCCUCUGAUGCCAUUUAACAUUUCUGCAGCCUUGGGAAAGAAGUCAACAUUGUCAACGAUCCCACCAACGCCAGCCGUUCUCUCUUCUCACCUGCCUGUCCCAUCGGGCAAUGGUUUGGUUCACAAGCCACCAGGCUCAAGGACUGUGUCUAUCCUGCGUUAACAGACACUUGAAUGGACCUCUCAUCAUAAAGAUGCUGUUAUGUGUGAAAAUCCCCGGAGAUCAGCAGCUACUGGGAUACUCAAACCACUCUGUCAGGCACCAACUAUCAUUCCAUGGUCAAAGUCACACCGAUGUGAAUUUUCUCCCCAUUUUGAUGUUUGGCCAGAACCAGCA